rnacentral:lncRNA from 1 species
UCAGGCCGAUUUCGAUCACCACUGUAGAGUCAAUGCUCAAUGCCUGACGCCACGACGCGCAUUGGAACUUUCUGUUUGUAUUUGCUGUCAGACAAUGUUUUCAUAUCUUUAGGUGCAGUUCCUAUCCGCAGCCCCAAAGUGUGCAAAAAUACGACAGUGGAAAAAAUCAGCUCAUCGUGCUGAUCUGCACAAUGCCGGCUUCAUGAAAUUUGUAGCUGUGGACUUUCUUUUGAAGACUCUUGUAUCUUAAUAUUUUCCUGCUUGUUGGAACAAGGAAAAUAGGAUCUCUUGAUGCCAACCAAGUGUCAUUGGAAAUAUUUUAAAAAGGUGUUAAAGGUAUUUGACAAAUCUAUAAUCAUGUUAAUAAAUGGAGGUUUAUUCCACAAACUUUAGCUUCCCAGGCCGACACCCAUCCACAAAGCCAUGGGUGAUAGAUGAUGUAAAAAUUUAUAUUUUAGAUUAUUGAUCGCAGAGUCAGAGAGCAAAGAAAUGUCUAUUGCCCCUCAAUUCCAAAUGGCACUAGAUACGGCGAAGCAUGGGCUUUCUGUUUUUUUCUUUUUUUAUAUAAUGUGAUACCUUCGUGUAUUCUUUCCGCUGAUAUUAGUAUUCAGGUAUUGUUAUUUUUAAGGUAUGUUAUUGAGGUAAAAUUCUUUAGUGGUUACUAAUUGCAAAUGCAUUAAUUUCUUCAGAAUCGUGUCAUAAGAUAAUGCUCUAUGUGUUAUUUUGUUUUCUGAGAUAGCUUUAAAUGAUUAAUGUCAUUUCAAAUAACAUUAUUAAUGUAUGAUAUAAUUAAUGUGAUGUUAAUGAUAUUAUUAAUAUCACUUGAAAUGAAAUUAUUAAUCAUUUCAAACUAUCUCCGAAAACAAUAAUACCUGAAGAAUCAUUUUAUGACACACAGAAAUAAAUGCAUUUGGAAUUAGUAACCACUGAAGUGUUUUACGUCAAUAAAAUAACUAAAAAAAAAAUACCUGAAUAUCAGUGGAAAGACUACACGAAGGUACCACAAAAUAUCAACAACAAAAACUGUCAGACGGCCUACCCUCCUCCGUAACUAGUCUCAUCGGUAAUUUAGGGACAAUAGCCAAAAAUUCUAUUGUCACUCAAAAGCUGAGGGGUAAUAGCCAAAAAGUAUUGCCUCUCAAAAAUUUGAGGGGCCAUUGCUAAUACUGAACGCCGUAUUUACGGAGUCCAGUUCCAUCCUUAAGUUGAUUUGACUGAAAACAGACCAAAAGUGUUGCAUAACUUCUUGUUUGACAUCUGUGGAUUGCAAGGAGGUUUCACAUAGGAGAAACACGAGCAGCAGUGUACCGAUUACAUCCGGCGUACGGUCGGAAGUGAUAUGCUGGUGGUCGUGCUUAUGCUGGUAAGCGGUGGAGUCGAUUCCGUCAUUUGUGCUGCCCUUCUCCAAGGUGGGGAAGGGCAUUGAAAAAAGCACUUCUCCAGGGUGACUACUCGUCGCUAGUGCAGGCCAUCCAUAUGGAUAACGGUUUCCUGCGAAAGACGAAUCCGAGCAGGCCGUCACUAGUUUACACCAACUCGGGCUCAAUCUUCUGGUAAUUUGAGAUACUUUUCUGGGCCGUUCAGAAUCUUAUGAUUGGCGGCCAAAAUGUGAUACGAGAUUAAUUGAUACGUCGUCCUGCCACAUCUCAAAUUCUACGGUUUAUAAUUCUUGUUUAAUGACAGAGUUCUUUUACAGAUAGUGGCUUCUCAUUUCUUCUUCAUACCAGCGAUCAGAUUUGAUGUUUAGAAUUGUUUUAGGUUGUUAAAGCAAGUUUGAUUUUCUACGAUGCUUCCACCAACGAGAAUGUUCGCCAAACUUUGUCGUUGUGUCGGACUGUUGUGAUGGACAGUGAAGACUCAUCGUAACGAUUCCGAAUGGUUCGUCAAUUGCGCCUUCACGGUCGUGUAGUAGAACCUCUUAAUGUUUUCCCCAACAGACAUCCAUAAAGAUGAAGUAAGAUCCCUAGGUCGCGAGCUGGGUCUGCUCGCAGAAUUACUGGAACGUCACCCGUUUCCUGGUCCUGGUUUGUCAAUUCGAAUCCUUUACGCCGAAGAACCGUCCAUGGAAGCUGGUUUUGGUGAGGCGCAAGUGCUAAUUCGUCUGAUCGUUUAUGCCAACAUGGCAGCCAAGGAACGUGCUUUGCUCAGUCGGAUUGAAAUUGCGACGUUUAAGAAGAGCGUCUUCUCUGGACGAACUGUCCAGUCACAACCAGUAUGUUGCCACGCUACUUCCUAUUCGCACUGUCGGAUCAGGGAGAUUUCCGAACUUAUAGCUAUUGCGUAGCACUGAACUCUGAUAAGACACAACCAAACUGGAAUGAUCUAGCCACCUACGCCCGCUUAAUACCGCGUGUGUGCCAUAAUGUCAAAAGUGUUUGCUACAUAUUCGGAAAGGGCUAUGCGUGAAUCGGUGACAAACGUUACACCUACCUACUUAAUGAGUAACAUUUUGGCGAUUUUGAGGGAAGCGGAUUAUUUGGUAAAUAAAAUAUUACGGGAUUCGGAAUAAGAAGAAAGAAAAAGAAGCUAGCCCAUCGUCUUGAUCCCUCUUCCAUUUGAUCGCGAUUCGAGUCAACGCAUUCCAACAUGCCAGCGAUCAGUCAUUUUUCGACCAUUCCUUUCACAGGAUUUUAUGAUUGACUUCCUGCAAUUCCUGAUACUCAUCUGUCCCAAGAGGUUGUAGACAAGAUGGCUGAAUCCGUCUUAGCUGUUCCAGGAAUUUUCAGGAUCUUGUAUGAUCUUGACUGCGAAACCACCCUGGACAAUGGAGUGGGAAUUAUUUGAUUUACGAACGUUGCUUAGGCAAAUCCUCUCAGCACUCUUUAUAGGACACGGAUACGGAGUUGUAUGAUACAACUUGUAUCAUUGACCAGAUUUAGAUGGGAGAUAUUAUGAACUAUGGAUUUAGUUUAGACUUCUGAAAUUGAGAAAUCAAUUAGCUUUGUCGUCUCGUGAAAAUCUCUUUAACUCGCUUUUAAAGAGUUCUCGUGGUGACUUAUUGACUAUUCCUUAAAUGUGCAUGCAUAUUUGUUGGAAAUAAUGGGUGCAGUUGUUUUCCGUCGAACAAAUUAAACAUUGUUAAUGCGCAACUAGGUGGGUUGCUGUUGCUCUCCCUUGUAAAUCUACCUUUCUUUGCCCAAUUGUUAAUCUAAUUCUUUUGGGAAAGUUCGGCCGUCCCCCAAAAACAAGUGGAAGGGCAUUUGAGGCGUUAUGCUAUUUCCUGAAAUUGGAUAUUCAGAAAAUGUUCUAUAUGUUCGCAAAUUGUUAAGACCUAUUCAGAGUGGUACCAUAAAGUAUGAGUGUAGGAAAGGGUACUUAGGCUCUGACGUAUUUGUUAAUUGGAAAAGGUACUGCAAAGAGAAGCGUCACAUGACGGUUAUAAGAAUCGACUUUUUCGUUUGCUUUGCCCAAUGAAUCUGUGCCUGGAACGGGCAGUUGCACCUAAUUUUUAUUUUUUAAACCCAGAGGUGUUCUUCACUUUUCAGAGGGACUGAUUGAUGAUACUUGUUGGUUAAACCAUGAAGAAUACCAAAAGAUGGAUAAGUGGAGGUAAUGUAAUUCCUCGUGGCAUUUUCAUUCAUGCAUGUGCAACAGUUCGUGAGCAGACGAACCAUUGAAAGAGCCCUGCACCGUCUAGCUGCAUCCAACCAUAUGCUAGUAGAACCCGAAACAUUGUUUUCACAAGUAUUGUCAUAUUUCAGUUGCAGGUUUUCACUAAAUACCAAGCUGAUCCUACGAGCUACGUCAGCUACGACAGUUUUACCUACAAAUGUUUAGCGUUUCGUGCUGCAUCUAGUAGUUGAUAUUCUAGGAUUUUAUGCCUAAAAUUGGAAUUCAGCUCUCAGAGAUUAGCAAAAUUCAAGCACCUAAAAGCAAGUAUUAGACUUAUUUCAACAUUCAAAGUAAAAUAUAAUUUUAUGUUCUAGGCGGAAACUCUAGAUGGGGUUGAUGUGCGUCUAUGAUGAAUAUUACGAGUGACAAGUUAAAUGGGUGUUUGUUACGUUACCCUGUUUUGUGUUUCAAAGGAUUUUUCGUCAAAAAAUUUACGUGUUUCGCCUUGUCAGCUCUGCCAGCUGCUGAACCAGCAGCCUGCAUUCCUGCUAUCAAUGUACCUCAAGGAAUCCUGACACUUCAACCGCAGAGUCUUCAUCUACUUUGUGUUGCUAACCAUCAGCCCUCAGCAUCCCAGUUAUCCAGAUUUCCAAGCUUCUCUGAUUAACCAACCAUCAUCCAUACACUUCAGCUCUUCAUUGUGGCUUCUCUUCCUCUCUUCUUAUUCUGCCAAAUGCCAACAUGGAACAAGGUUCGUCUUCGUGGUCUUACCAUGAAAAUUGUCAUUGUUAAUCCUGCUGUUCUUCUCACUGUUACUUAGCUGGCUAAUAUGGAUAGGCACACCAUCUCUAUUUUUUGGACUGCAAAUAUUCAUCUUCCUUCGGUACAAUACUACCGUUUUGAUAAUUUCGGUAGUUUCGCCGCCAGUGGACCACACGCAACUUCAUUUUCUUCGUCUUCCUGUCGUUGUCUACGCCUUCACCUCAUCGCGGUCUUCGUCUACGUCUUCGCCUCAUCAGUGUAUUCGUCGACGUCUUCGCCUUCAUCUCCGUCUCACCAUCGUAUUUUCCGUCUUUUUCUACGCUAUCAUCUCGUCGCCGGCUUCACCGUGGAUGGUCAACCUGGUAUUGUUUUAUUUUGCAUUGUAAUGUUUAAGUUAACCCGUUGGCUGCCACCCCGUUUGCGUCCCAUUUUUUUUGUAGCUUGUAGGGACCGGCCGCAAUGGCCUUCGCCGCAAGGCGCCUUAGGCA